rnacentral:rRNA from 1 species
ACUUUCAUCGAAUACGGCUUUCCACAUAAUUCUAUAGGGAUCUAUGAUAUCGAGUAUGGAGUUCUGUUUACUCACUUUAAAUUGAGUAUCCGUUUCCCUCCUUUUCCCGCUAGGAUUGGAAAUCCUGUAUUUUCCAUAUCCAUACGAUCGAGUCCUUAG